GUACCCUCAAGCUCUGCUUGGUGUUGGGUGUUUGUCCUAUCCUUGCGAUUGGACUCGCCUUAAAGUUAUUGGCAGCCGGCAUAUUGGCCUUGGAGCGCAGCACAUUUUGCGAUUCAAGCCUGUAGACUGGCGUCCAUCAAGCCUUUUUAUCAC
rnacentral:misc_RNA from 1 species